GCUACGAUCCGACUUAAAGGUACUGGGGGGAUAACAGGCUGAUACCGCCCAAGAGUUCAUAUCGACGGCGGUGUUUGGCACCUCGAUGUCGGCUCAUCACAUCCUGGGGCUGAAGUAGGUCCCAAGGGUAUGGCUGUUCGCCAUUUAAAGUGGUACGCGAGCUGGGUUCAGAACGUCGUGAGACAGUUCGGUCCCUAUCUGCCGUGGG
rnacentral:rRNA from 1 species